rnacentral:rRNA from 1 species
GAGAGUUUGAUCCUGGCUCAGAUUGAACGCUGGCGGCAGGCCUAACACAUGCAAGUCGAACGGUAACAUUUCUAGCUUGCUAGAAGAUGACGAGUGGCGGACGGGUGAGUAAUGCUUGGGAACUUGCCUUUGCGAGGGGGAUAACAGUUGGAAACGACUGCUAAUACCGCAUAAUGUCUUCGGACCAAACGGGGCUUCGGCUCCGGCGCAAAGAGAGGCCCAAGUGAGAUUAGCUAGUUGGUAAGGUAACGGCUUACCAAGGCGACGAUCUCUAGCUGUUCUGAGAGGAAGAUCAGCCACACUGGGACUGAGACACGGCCCAGACUCCUACGGGAGGCAGCAGUGGGGAAUAUUGCACAAUGGGGGAAACCCUGAUGCAGCCAUGCCGCGUGUGUGAAGAAGGCCUUCGGGUUGUAAAGCACUUUCAGUUGUGAGGAAAAGUUAGUAGUUAAUACCUGCUAGCCGUGACGUUAACAACAGAAGAAGCACCGGCUAACUCCGUGCCAGCCGCCGCGGUAAUAC